UACGAGAGGCCCAAACGUUAUUCGGAAUUACUGGGCUUAAAGAGUUCGUAGGCGGCGCAGAAAAGUAGGGUGUGAAAGCCCUCGGCUCAACCGAGGAAGGUCAUUGGAAACUGGAGGACUUGAGUGCAGAAGAGGAAAGUGGAAUCCAAGUGUAGCGGUGAAAAUGCGUAGAGAUUUGGAGGAACACCAGUGGCGAAGGCGACUUUCUGGUCUGUAAACUGACGCUGAGGCGCGAAAGCGUGGGGAGCAAACAGG
rnacentral:rRNA from 1 species